AGUGAACGCUAGCGGUAGGCCUAACACAUGCAAGUCGAACGGCAGCACAGUAAGAGCUUGCUCUUACGGGUGGCGAGUGGCGGACGGGCGAGGAAUACAUCGGAAUCUACUUUUUCGUGGGGGAUAACGUAGGGAAACUUACGCUAAUACCGCAUACGACCUACGGGUGAAAGCAGGGGAUCUUCGGACCUUGCGCGAUUGAAUGAGCCGAUGUCGGAUUAGCUAGUUGGCGGGGUAAAGGCCCACCAAGGCGACGAUCCGUAGCUGGUCUGAGAGGAUGAUCAGCCACACUGGAACUGAGACACGGUCCAGACUCCUACGGGAGGCAGCAGUGGGGAAUAUUGGACAAUGGGCGCAAGCCUGAUCCAGCCAUACCGCGUGGGUGAAGAAGGCCUUCGGGUUGUAAAGCCCUUUUGUUGGGAAAGAAAAGCAGCAGGUUAAUACCCCGCUGUUCUGACGGUACCCAAAGAAUAAGCACCGGCUAACUUCGUG
rnacentral:rRNA from 1 species